ACUCAACAGUUAACCUAAAAAGGAGUCCAGCUCGUUUUGGAGAUGUCAUGCCCUUUUGGAAAAGCUCGGCUUUUUACUGAGAGGGAAGACUGAAACUCAGCGGUGGAUUCCGAUCCUGUCUAAUUGGAGUUU
rnacentral:ncRNA from 1 species